rnacentral:rRNA from 1 species
GAUGAACGCUGGCGGCGUGCUUAACACAUGCAAGUCGAACGGAAAGGCUCCUGCUUGCCGGGGUACUCGAGUGGCGAACGGGUGAGUAACACGUGGGUGAUCUGCCCUGCACUUCGGGAUAAGCCUGGGAAACUGGGUCUAAUACCGGAUAGGACCACAUUUUGGAUGGUGUGGUGGAAAGUUUUUCGGUGUGGGAUGAGCUCGCGGCCUAUCAGCUUGUUGGUGGGGUAAUGGCCUACCAAGGCGUCGACGGGUAGCCGGCCUGAGAGGGUGUACGGCCACAUUGGGACUGAGAUACGGGCCAGACUCCGACGGGAGGCAGCAGUGGGGAAGAUUGCACAAUGGGCGCAAGCCUGAUGCAGCGACGCCGCGUGGGGGAUGACGGCCUUCGGGUUGUAAACUCCUUUCGCUAGGGACGAAGCGUUUUUGUGACGGUACCUGGAGAAGAAGCACCGGCUAACUACGUG